CAGAACCAUAGAAUCAUUGUGGUUGGAGAAGACCUCUGGGAUCCCCAAGGCCAACAUCAACCCAUGGGACAUGCCCACUCCCCACAGUUCUGGAACACCUCCAGGGCAAAACCCUCCCAGGAAAUCCAUGGGGAAGAUCAGAAAUAAA